UACGGAGGGGGUUAGCGUUGUUCGGAAUUACUGGGCGUAAAGCGCGCGUAGGCGGAUUAGAAAGUUGGGGGUGAAAUCCCGGGGCUCAACCUCGGAACUGCCUCCAAAACUGCUAGUCUAGAGUUCGAGAGAGGUGAGUGGAAUUCCGAGUGUAGAGGUGAAAUUCGUAGAUAUUUGUAGGAAUGCCGAUAGUGAAGACAGCUCACUGGACAGAUACUGACGCUGAGGUGCGAAAGUGUGGGGAGCAAACAGG
rnacentral:rRNA from 1 species